GGGUACAGGAAGUCACAUAGCCAAAUCCAGAGUCAAGAGGUAGGGAAGUACUCUUUAUCCAUGAACGUGGAGGUGAAAGAGUGUAUAUAUACAUUUUUAACAAUAAUCUAAUCUGUUUUAAUAACAGUGCCAACUUCAAAACAUUGUUGAAUAUCAAAUGCAAUAUUAAUUUAUGUUAGUUAUAUGCCCAGCACCAUAAAAGAAAGGUCUGACAACCUGCUUUCAUAAAGAUUACAGCCAAGAAACCCUAUGGACCAGUUCUGCUCUGUAGCAUAUGGGAUCACGAUGAAUUGGCAUGAAUGCAAAUGGCAAUGGGUGUGAUGAUUAAGAUUGUGUGUCGACAUGGCUGGGCCAUGAUUUUCAGUGUUUAUGUGUGAUCAACCCCAUGAUUGAAUCUACUGUGAGUAACCAAUCAGUUGAGAGGGUUUUUCCUUGGGGGUGUGGCCUACAUCCAAAUAUAAGCAGAAGUUCAGGCUUUUUGUUCACUGGGUCCUGUAGCUCUGUCCAGUUCUUGGGACUUGAGGUAGCAGCUUCUCUGCUGAUCUUGGGAUUCAUUGAUCUUCACAGCCUGUGAGUGGAGCCCUACUCUCCAGCCAGUCUUGAGUUCACCACCCCUGUAGCUACACGAAUCAGGAGAAGCUUUGCCAUCUUGUCUGCCAAUCUUUAGAUUCAUCGAUAUUCACAGCCUGUGAGCAGGAGCCCUGCUAUCCAAUCUGCCAGUCUUUGGUUUGCCAGUCCCUGCAGCUAUGUCAACCAGGAGAUGUCUUGCAGUCUUGCCUGCUAAUCUUAGGAUUCGUUGACCUAUUCACAGCCUGUGAGCAAGAGCCCUGCUUUCUGACCUGCUGAUCUUUAGAUUGCCAGCUCCUGCGGCUUCAUGAAUUGGGAGAAGCCUCUAUUUUAAUCCACAGAUUUGGAACUUUCCAGCCUCUACAACCACUUUCUACAGGUAAUUCGGUGGAGCAGUGGUUAAGAGCUCAGCUGCUAACUAAAAGGCCGACAGUUUGAAUCUACCAUCCACUCCUCAGGAACCCUAUGGAGCAGUUCUACUCUGUCCUAUAGCAUCUCAAUGAAUUGGAAUCUACUCGGCUGCAAGGGGUUUAUGACUAUGUGUUUCUCAUUUUCUGCAGGUGCUGUUGAAUCGGUUCCAACUCAUAGGGACCCUAUGUACCACAGAAUGAAACACUGUCGGUUGACCAGGUAGCUGUCUUCCAAAUUUCUUGGCACAGACGAGUGAGCACUUCCAGAUCUACAUCUGUUUGUUGAAACAUCUCAGUUGAUAUUCUGUCAAUCCCUGGAGCCUUGUGUUUCACCAAUGCCAUCAGUGCAGCUUGGACUUCUUCCUUCAGUACCAUCAGUUCCUGAUCAUAUGCUACCUCUUGAAAUGGUUGAAUGUCAACCAAUUCUUUUUGGUAUAAUGACUCUGUGUAUUCCUUUCAUCUUCUUUUGAUGCUUCCUGUGUCAUUUAAUAUUUUCCCCCAUAGAAUCCUUCACUGUUGCAACUCAAGGCUUGAAUUUUUUCUUCGGUUCUUUCAGCUUGAGAAACACCAAAUGUGUUCUUCCCUUUUGGUUUUCUGUGUUCAGCUCUUUGCACAUGUCAUUAUAAUACUUUGCUUUCUCCAGCCGCCCUUUGAAAUCUUCUGUUCAGUUCUUUUACUUCAUCAUUUCUUCCUUUUGCUUUAGCAGCUCAACGUUCAAGAGCAAGUUCCUGUCUUUUUAAUGACCUCUUGCUUUCUUCAUGUAUGAUGUCCUUGCACGACUCGUCUGGUCUUCAUUCAUUAGUGUUCCACACAUCAAAUCUAGUCUUGAGAUGGUCUCUAAAUUCAGGUGGUGUAUACUCAAGGUUAUACUUAGGCUGUCAUCAACUUGUUCUAAUUUUCUUCAGUUUCAACUUGAACUUACUUAUGAGCAAUUGAUGGUCUGUUCCACAGUCGGUCCCUGGCCUUGUUCUGACUGAUGACAUCAAGCUUUUCCAUCAUUUCUUUCUACAGAUGUAGUUGAUUUGAUUCCUAUGUAUUUAAAGUACACAAAUUUCUGUGGAAGUUGGCCAUUCGCUUGAUUACUUCCAGAUCACAUUCAUUUAUAGGAAAACGACUGAUACUAACAACAUAUUGAGCAGUUUGGGUCAAGGUACACAUAACAAAGGCAAGUAGAAUUCAAAAUAUAACAUCCUGCAGUUAGAAAAUUUGUAAACUGGAUUUGCAAGAUUCAGUUAGAAAAAGACCAAGAAAAUGGACAUUUUUCAAGUAGAAAUACCAUAGGUGAUUGAAAUAUAAGUAAUUUAAAAAACUGUUCUGCGACCCAUAAUGGAUUUUAAUAAUAAAGCAAUUCUAAUGUAGCUGAUGGAAAUUGUUCACAAUUUUCUUAGGUAAGGCAUAUACUAGUUACUAGAAUUCGUGAUUCUAGGAAUCUGAUUACUAGAAUAUUACUGGUAGAAAUAACCCAUAAAAUGAAAGACUGAAACCCCACAUAACAGAACUUGUUAUUCAGUGAAGCAUUGUUAAUGAAGUGGUCUGUCUUAAAUUUAUUAUUUGUUGAAUAAGUCAAUUUUUUAACCCUAUGCUAUUAAGAUACACUAUGGACCCAUUUUCACUUUUUGGGUUCUUUUAAAAUUUUUGUUUUUAAUUUUUAGGUAUUAUUACUCACAUAGAAAAAUAAUUACUCCAUUAUGGGUUUGAAGGUUGAUGUUGUUGUUGUUGUUAGGUGCUGUUGUUUCGGUUCCGACUCAUAGCGACCCUAUGCACAACAGAACGAAACACUGCCCAGUCCUGAGCCAUCCUUACAAUCGUUGUUAUGCUUGAGCCCAUUGUUACAGCCACUGGGUCAAUCCACUUCGUUGAGGGUCUUCCUCUUUUCUGCUGACCCUGUAGUUUGUCAAGCAUGACGUCCUUCUCCAGAGACUGAUCCCUCCUGACAACAUGUCCUAAGUAUGUAAGUUGCAGCCUGGCCAUCCUUGCUUCUAAGGAGCAUUCUGGUUGUGCUUCUUCCAAGACAGAUUUAUUUGUUCUUCUGGUAGUCCAUGGUAUAUUCAAUAUUCUUUGCCAAUGCCACAAUUCAAAGGCAUCAAUUCUUCUUUGGUCUUCUUAUUCAUUGUCCAGCUUUGACAUGCGUAUAAUGUGAUUGAAAAUACCAUGGCUUGGGUCAGGUGCACCUUAGUCUUCAAGGUGACAUCUUUGCUCUUCAACACUUUAAAGAGGUCCUUUGCAGCAGAUUUACCCCAAUGCAAUGUGUCUUUUGAUUUCUUGACUGCUGCUUCCAUGGCUGUUGAUUGUGGAUCCAAGUAAAAUGAAAUCCUUGAUAACUUCAGUCUUUUCUCUGUUUAUCAUGAUGUUGCUCAUUGGUCUAGUUGUGAGGAUUUUUUUUUCUUUAUGUUGAGGUGUAAUCCAUACUGAAGGCUGUGGCCUUUGAUCUUCAUUAGUAAGUGCUUCAAGUCCUCUUCACUUUCGGCAAGCAAGGUUGUGUUAUCUGCAUAACGCAGGUUGUUAAUGAGUCUUCCUCCAAUCCUGAUGCCCCAUUCUUCUUCAUAUAGUCCAGCUUCUUGGAUUAUUUGCUCAGCAUACAAAGUCAAUAGGUAUGGUGAAAGGAUACAACCCCGAUGCACACCUUUCCUGACUUUAAACCAAUCAGUAUCCCCUUGUUCUGUCCGAACAACUGCCUCUUGGUCUAAGUAAAUGUUCCUCAUGAGCACAAUUAAGUGUUCUGGAAUUCCCAUUCUUCGCAAUGUCAUCCAUAAUUUGUUAUGAUCCACACAGUCGAAUGCCUUUGCAUAGUCAAUAAAACACAGGUAAACAUCCUUCUGGCAUUCUCUGCUUUCAGCCAGGAUCCAUCUGACAUCAGCAAUGAUAUCCCUGGUUCCACGUCCUCUUCUGAACACCUGAAUUUCUGGCAGUUCCCUGUCGAUAUACUGCUGCAGCCAUUUUUGAAUGAUUUUCAGCAAAAUUUUGCUUGUGUAUGAUGUUGUUGUAUAAUUUCCACAUUUGGUUGGGUCACCUUUCUUGGGAAUAGGCAUAAAUAUGGAUCUCUUCCAGUCAGCUGGCCAGGAAGCUGUCUUCCAUAUUUCUUGGCAUAGACGAGUGAGCACCUCCAGUGCUGCAUCUGUUUGUUGAAAUAUCUCACUUGAUAUUCCAUCAAUGCCUGGAGCCUUGUUUUUUGCCAAUGCUUUCAGAGCAGGUUGGACUUCUUCCUUCAGUACCAUCAGUCCCUGAUCAUAUGCUACCUCUUGAAAUGUUUGAACAUCGACUAAUUCUUUUUGGUGUAAUGACUCUGUGCAUUCCUUCCAUCUUCUUUUGAUGCUUCCUCCAUCAUUUAAUAUUGACCUUAAUGACAUGGAUGGAGUAAAGCUUUCAGGACCUUCAUUUGCUGAUGUGGCAUGAGUCAAAAUGAGAAGAAACAGCUGCAAACAUCCAUUAAUAAUCGGAACCUGGGAUGUAUGAAGGAUGAAACUAGGAAAAAUAGAAAUCAUCAAAAAUGAAAUGGAAUGCAUAAACAUCAAUAUCCUAGGCAUUAGUGAACUGAAAUGGAUUGGUAUUGGCCAUUUUGAAUCAGACAAUCAUAUAGUCUACUACGCUGGGAAUGACAUCUUGAAGAGGAAUGGUAUUUCAUUCUUCAUCAAAAAGAACUGUUCAAGAUCUAUCCUUAAGUACAAUGCUGUCAGUGAUAGGAUUACUAUCCUUGUGCCUACAAGGAAGACCAGUUAAUAUGACUGUUAUUCAAAUAUAUUUUUAUGCACCAACCUCUAGGCACAAAGAUGAAGAAAGAGAAGAUUUUUAUCAGCUGCUGCAGUCUGAAAUUGAUCAAACAUGCAAUCAAGAUGUAUUAAUAAUUACUGGCGAUUUUAAUGUGAAAGUUGGAAACAAAAAACUACUGUUGGAAAAUAUGGCCUUGGUGUAGAAACAAUGCUGGAGAUCGAACGAUAGAAUUUUGAAAGACCAACAACUUCUUCAUUGCAAAUACCUUUCUUUCACCAACAUAAAUGGCUACUAUACACAUGGACCUCUCCAGAUGGAGCACACAGAAAUCAAAUUGACUACAUUUGUGGAAAGCGAAGAUGGAAAAUCUCAAUAUCAUCAGUCAGAAGAAGGCCAGGGGCUGACUGUGGAACAGACCAUCAAUUGCUCAGAUGCAAGUUCAAGCUGAAACUGAAGAAAAUCAGAGCAAGUCCAUGAGAGCCAAAAUAUGGCCUUGAGUAUAUCCCACCUGAAUUUAGAGACCAUAUGAAGAAUAGAUUUGACGCAUUGAACAGUGGUGAUCGAAGACCGGACGAGUUGUGGAAUGACAUCAAAGACAUCAUAUAUGAAGAAAGUAAGAGGUCAUUGAAAAGACAGGAAAGAAAGAAAAGACCAAGAUGGAUGUCGGAGGAGACUCUGAAACUUGCUCUUGAACAUCAAGCAGCUAAAGCAAAAGGAAGAAUUGAUGAAGUAAAAGAACUGAACGGAAGAUUUCAAAGGGUGGCGUGAGAAGACAAAGUAAUGAAGAUUGAUACCUACCUAUAUUCCUCUAAACUAGCAUAUGUAUAGAGCCAGUUUUUAAAGUCUUAUUAUUUCUUAUUGUGAAUUUGUCUAGAAUGAAAAAUUCAAAUCACUGUAAAUUUUUUUUGUUUUAAUAUAUUUUAGCACAUAUCAAUCCAUCUGACAGAUUGAAAAAAUAAUGGGGCAAAUGCUUUGAGGUAUGGAUUGCAGAAUGAAUAUUAUUUCAACUACAGUGCACACUGGCUUUGAUGUGAAAUAUCCUAUCAGAAAUUUCCAUGUCAUAAAUUUGACUCAUACAUGUAACACUGCACCAUUUUCCCAAUCAAUACUAAGGAUGCCAAGAAAUUCACCUGUCUCCUUCAAAAUAUCCAGUUGUUUUACCAUGAGGCUGUUUACAAAUUCAUGGCAUCACAGAUGUAAUCAUAACUACAUCAAAUUUUAUAAGAACAUAAUAACUAAAAAUUAAAGUAUCUGCUUGUAUCCAGUUUUAAGGUUAAACAAAAUUGGGUUAAGCUCAAUCUUUCAAUUAUUUGUUUAAUUUUAAAAUGUGAAUUGAUUUUAAAGGUUUAGGUUGAGAGAUAAAGGAUGUAAUAAUGUCAACGUAAAAAUCAGUUCUGACACGCUGCUUGUUUUGAAAAUGUGAAUUUAAUCCAACACAAAGGAACAAUUUGAACAUAGUGGGAAUUUUGUGGUUGUUUACGUGUGAUUUUGUCUGAGAGAAAUACUAAAUGCAUGCAGAAAACUGCACCUAGCUGAGCAGAGCCAUGUAGGAAUACACAACUUCUUCCCCAUACACACACACACACACACACACACACCCCUCAAGCACCUACCAGCCACCUCUGCUCACAUGUGUAUAUGCGCCACACUGAGGGGCAGAUUACCCAGUCAGCAAGGUAAGCACAGGCUUAUUUGUGCUUACUUCCUAAUCUGUAGUGACCAAUUUCACAUGGGCUUCUAAGCCCCUGCUUACCUUGUUCACUGGAUCAUCCACUCUGUCAGGGAUUGUAAAUUUGAAAAGAGGCUUUGAUUCUGUAGAAAGGUGUUGUGAGGUUGGGAGAGAGACAGGUGCCAGCCAUACCUAGAGGUACGUGUGUUGAAAAAUAUGAAAUGGUUCACCACAGAUGAUCUGGUAAGCACCUGCUUACCUUGCCUAUUGGAUAAUCUGCCUGUGGCUACACCCAUCCACAUCUGGCAUGACAACUUUCUGUCCAAUUUCAGAUAACCCUUCCUCCACCACUUCACAAUAACUCACAAAGUACAAUCCUGCCAAAACCUACUUCCACAAUCAAAGUUCAGGUCUUUUUCCAGAUAAAGUGCAAUACUGAUUGUAGUAUUAUAUAUUUAUAAAUCAUUUUAAAUGUGUAAAACUGUGCUACCAUUUUUUUGUUUCCUGUUUCUUUAAAAUGUCACUGGUGAAG